ACAACUCUGCACCAAGCUUUACAUGCAUAUUAAUAAUGUUUUGAUUAUUAUAUUCUCUCUACGUGUACAUGAGUUAGUAUUAAAAGUAUUUUUUUAAAGUAAAAGUGAUCAGAUACAGAUGUUCUGAAUAGUAACAGCAGUUUGUUAGCAGAUAGAUAAGUGAAAGGUGGCCAUUUUUGUUUCGGAAAUGGCAACUUCUUUAGCUUCUCAACUUUCUGGUCCAAAAUCCGCCAUUGCCUUUUCCACUCCACCACACUUUUCUGGUCUCCGUCCAUCUUCUAAUUUCAAGCUUGACAAUACUCGCUCUUUUUUCCAAAAUGUGGACUCUCACAAAGGUUGCAGACCCGUCGUCUCCAUGGCUGGCUCCGGCAAGUUCUUUGUUGGUGGCAACUGGAAAUGUAAUGGAACAAAGGACUCCAUAAGCAAGCUUGUAUCUGAUCUGAACAGUGCGAAACUCGAGUCAGAUGUUGAUGUGGUUGUUGCACCUCCCUUUAUGUACAUUGAUCAAGUGAAGAGUUCACUAACUGAUAGGAUUGAGAUUUCUGGUCAGAAUUGCUGGACUGGCAAAGGUGGAGCUUUCACGGGUGAAAUCAGCGUGGAACAGUUGAAAGAUAUUGGCUGCAAGUGGGUCAUUCUUGGUCAUUCUGAGCGGAGACAUGUAAUUGGAGAAAAUGAUGAAUUUAUUGGGAAGAAGGCCGCUUAUGCCUUAAGCCAGAAUGUUGGAGUGAUAGCCUGUAUUGGAGAGCUAUUGGAAGAAAGAGAAGCUGGAAAAACUUUUGAUGUAUGUUUCAACCAGUUGAAGGCUUUUGCCGAUGCUUUACCAAGUUGGGAUGAUGUGGUCAUCGCAUAUGAGCCUGUAUGGGCCAUUGGAACUGGUAAAGUGGCGUCACCUGAGCAGGCUCAGGAGGUCCAUGCAGCUGUUCGUGAUUGGCUAAGUAAGAAUGUUUCUGCAGAAGUUGCUUCUAAAACACGCAUCAUAUAUGGAGGCUCUGUGAACGGAGGCAACUCUUCUGACCUGGCAAAGAAAGAAGAUAUUGAUGGCUUUCUAGUUGGGGGUGCUUCUUUAAAGGGUCCUGAGUUUGCCACCAUUAUUAAUUCUGUAACAUCCAAGAAGGUAGCUGCUUGAUCAUUUGUCAUGGGUUGUAGUCGUGGAAACAAAUGGCGUAGAGAAAUAGCAGUGCUGGAAGCAUCAGAUGGCUAAUUUACGAAGGAGUUUUAUCUAGUGGAAUUUUGAUAUGCUGACAAAGACGAUACCGAAAGACAAGUUCAAGUUAUGCAAAGAACUUGUGGGUAUGAGCUCUCUCUAAAGAAAAUGAAGAUACCUCCUUCUAGUGAAUGGGACUGGAGGGGGAGAUUUGUGGAGUCCAUCCCAUAUUUUUGGUCAACUUUUGCUAUUCAAUUGCUACAAGUAAUUGUUAAAAAAAGAAUAGUAAUUAGAGUUGAAUAUAAAAGAUUUGAUAGUUGGCAUAUUAG